rnacentral:rRNA from 1 species
AUUGAACGCUGGCGGCAGGCCUAACACAUGCAAGUCGAGCGGAUGAAGGGAGCUUGCUCCUGGAUUCAGCGGCGGACGGGUGAGUAAUGCCUAGGAAUCUGCCUGGUAGUGGGGGAUAACGUCCGGAAACGGGCGCUAAUACCGCAUACGUCCUGAGGGAGAAAGUGGGGGAUCUUCGGACCUCACGCUAUCAGAUGAGCCUAGGUCGGAUUAGCUAGUUGGUGGGGUAAAGGCCUACCAAGGCGACGAUCCGUAACUGGUCUGAGAGGAUGAUCAGUCACACUGGAACUGAGACACGGUCCAGACUCCUACGGGAGGCAGCAGUGGGGAAUAUUGGACAAAGGGCGAAAGCCUGAUCCAGCCAUGCCGCGUGUGUGAAGAAGGUCUUCGGAUUGUUAAGCACUUUAAGUUGGGAGGAAGGGCAGUAAGUUAAUACCUUGCUGUUUUGACGUUACCAACAGAAUAAGCACCGGCUAACUUCGUG